UGUAUUUAUGCUUGAGAGUAGAUGUUGUAUAGGGUGAGGUUUGAGUGCUUGUAUUUAUAUUUUAGAAGAAUGUAAAAGAUGGACUUAAAUGUAUUAAGUUGAAUGGAUGUAAUAGAUAGAACUUUCUCUCUUUAUCUACUUGUAUGUUUCAUACUUGUAUCUUGCUCUUAGUUGUUAGCACUGGUGGUGUUCCUUGUGAUCGUGUAUUUAUGAAUUGAUUCCUGGUUAAAUUCUUAUACAUGAUCAGUUGGUUAGCCUUGUGCGGACAGGGGAGGUCCUG
rnacentral:lncRNA from 1 species